UCUCCGUAGGUGAACCUGCGGAGGGAUCAUUACUGAGUGAGGGUCUCCGGGCCCGACCUCCAACCCUUUGUGAACACAACUUGUUGCUUCGGGGGCGACCCUGCCGUCCGCGGCUGAGCGCCCCCGGGGUCAAUCAAACACUGCAUUCUCUGCGUCGGAGUAUUAGUAAAUCUAAUCAAAACUUUCAACAACGGAUCUCUUGGUUCUGGCAUCGAUGAAGAACGCAGC
rnacentral:misc_RNA from 1 species